rnacentral:piRNA from 1 species
UAAUACAUUAUCUGGUUGAAGUGUCC